rnacentral:rRNA from 1 species
UACAUGUGGGGCAAGCGUUGUUCGGAAUUACUGGGCAUAAAGGGUGCGUAGGCGGUCUGUUAAGUCACCGGUGAAAGUUUGCGGCCCAACCGUAAAAGUGCCGGUGAUACUGGCGGACUUGAGUGCGUGAGGGGUAGGGGGAACGAGCAGUGUAGCGGUGAAAUGCGUAGAUAUCAGGAGGAACACCUGCGGUGUAGACGGCUUUCUGGACCAUUGCUGACGCUGAGACACGAAAGCGUGGGUAGCAAACAGG